rnacentral:rRNA from 1 species
AUACGGAGGGUGCAAGCGUUAUGCGGAAUCACUGGGCGUAAAGGACGCGUAGGCGGGUUGGCAAGUCAGAUGUGAAAUCCUACAGCUUAACUGUAGAACUGCAUUUGAAACUGCUAACCUAGAGUAUGGGAGGGGGAGAUGGAAUUAGUGGUGUAGGGGUAAAAUCCGUAGAUAUCACUAGGAAUACCGAAAGCGAAGGCGAUCUCCUGGAACAUAACUGACGCUAAGGCGUGAAAGCGUGGGGAGCAAACAGGAUUAGAUACCCUAGUAGUCC